rnacentral:rRNA from 1 species
AUUGAACGCUGGCGGCAUGCCUUACACAUGCAAGUCGAACGGUAACAGGUUAAGCUGACGAGUGGCGAACGGGUGAGUAAUGUAUCGGAACGUGCCCAGUUGUGGGGGAUAACUGCUCGAAAGAGCAGCUAAUACCGCAUACGACCUGAGGGUGAAAGCGGGGGAUCGCAAGACCUCGCGCAAUUGGAGCGGCCGAUAUCAGAUUAGGUAGUUGGUGGGAUAAAGGCUCACCAAGCCGACGAUCUGUAGCUGGUCUGAGAGGACGACCAGCCACACUGGGACUGAGACACGGCCCAGACUCCUACGGGAGGCAGCAGUGGGGAAUUUUGGACAAUGGGCGCAAGCCUGAUCCAGCCAUGCCGCGUGCGGGAAGAAGGCCUUCGGGUUGUAAACCGCUUUUGUCAGGGAAGAAACGCUCUGGGUUAAUACCCUGGGGUAAUGACGGUACCUGAAGAAUAAGCACCGGCUAACUACGUGCCAGCCGCCGCAGUAA